GUCCAUUGCCACUCUCAGGAACACCCGCCCUUUCAAGAGCAUGAUGUGACCAGGAUGUGAUGGCCACCUGUACUCCAUCCACUGUCCUGACAUCAAUCUAGGCCUCACGGUGGAACAGCAUUGAGCCUGGCUCCACUUCUCGCCAGAUUGUCUGGGAGUUUUAUCCAAUGCCUGCACCUUUGAGGAAGCUCCCCCGCUUAGUUUCCUUGGACCAGCAUGGAAAAAGUCCUCUUCAUGGCUGGAAUGGAGUCCCUCUUGUUAGGGCUCAAAUGAUUCCCUGGGAUCUCUCAAGUCUGGGUCAUGCCAGUGCAGUGACAACCUCAGUUCUAUAAUAUUCCCUGGGGAUAGCCUCCUGUUCAGCCCUGCCCCCCACCUGGAGCCCACUGGCUCUUUGGGUCAUUCUGUCUGCACACAUCUGUCUAGGCUGUGUCUAUCUUGACACUUAACUGGCUAAGUGACUGUCUGCCUGGGCCAGGAAUCCAGAUGGCAGGUCCCCUUUAUAUGCUGUGAUAGCAACCAACUAAGGACUGCCACCUUGAUCAUUUGACCAGUGUCAUAAAAAGACUCAAGUCUUUUUGUGUAGUCCAUAUUUGUAGGAGAGUCUAGAGUUUCU